GUGCUCUCUUCAGCAGCACAAAUAACUAAACUGGAAUGGUAUAGAGAAGAUUAGUAUGACCUGUGUGCGAGGAUAAUACCCUACUUGGUGAAGGAUGCCACAUUUCA